AUUGAACGCUGGCGGCAGGCCUAACACAUGCAAGUCGAGCGGUUGAAGGGAGUUUGCUCCUGGAUUCAGCGGCGGACGGGUGAGUAAUGCCUAGGGAUCUGCUUGGUCGUGGGGGAUAACGUCCGGAAACGGGCGCUAAUAUCGUAUCCGUUCUAAGGGAGAAAGUGGGGGUUCUUCGGACCUCACGCUAUUAGCUUAGCCUAGGUCGGAUCAGCUAGUUGGUGGGGUAAAGGCCUACCAAGGCGACGAUCAGUACCUGGUCUGAAAGGAUGAUCAGUCACACGGGAACUGGGACACGGUCCAGACUCCUACGGGAGGCAGCAGUGGGGAAUAUUGGACAAUGGGCGAAAGCCUGAUCCAGCCAGGCCGCGUGGUUGAAGAAGGUCUUCGGAUGGUAAAGCACGUUAAGUUGGGAGGAAGGGCAGGAAGGUAAUACCUUGCUGAUGUGACGUUACCAACAGAAUAAGCACCGGCUAACUUCGUG
rnacentral:rRNA from 1 species